rnacentral:snRNA from 1 species
AUCGCUUCUCGGCCUUUUGGCUAAGAUCAAGUGUAGUAAAGUCUCCUUUGGUUCUGAUAUUAAUUUGAUUGCAUUAGCUGAUCAUCU